CAAGGGCUAGAUGUGUUGUGAAGCAAGUAUCUUGAAGGAGAAAGAAGUUUCGUAUGCAAACAUCUGUAGGCAUACGUCCAGCAGCUCAAUUCACUAGAAAAGAAAGAGUAAACUGCACCUGGAAAAUCUGCCUUUCACAAACCAGGAGCUAGCCAGUGCAGUGACAGCAAAAUAAAUUUUAUCCACAGACUCCUGUCAACCUCUGGAUCUUUGGAUCAGUUCUUACUUCCUCUUGGCCUCAUUCAUUGCUUCUGAGGAUGAAGUGCUACACACCUGCCAUGGUUGAAACUGUUCUUAUAUCAUCUUCCGAAUGCAGAGACUUCAAGCAUAUGAAAUUGUGAGGUUAAUGCCAUAGUCAAGGCUUCAACCAAAGCUGUUACUGCAGACCUGAGCUGAUUUUUUUUGAGAAAGCCAUGGUAGUUGCUAGUUCUUAACAGAUAGAGGAAUUGUCAACGUUAGUGUUCUGCUUAUCAAGCAAUACAAGAUGUGAGUUUUCCAGCAGAGUAGCAGUCUGGAUGGGGGUGGCAGUACCAUAGGAUGAAUUCCUCACUUCAUCUCAGAUUAGUUUUGAUUUUUCUGUAUUUGUAUAAAAUGGAGAUAAAUAUCCUUGCUUUGUAUUUUCUACUUGGAAUUAUAAGUUUCUGGAAGCACGUCUGUCCUGGGUUCAGCAGUAGCAGUCAUUUUUUCUCCUUCUUAGGAUUUACGGCCUGGGCUUAAACCAUGACGUCUUUUACCACGCAUUCAUGUAUUCAUCUAGUAGGGUUAGCUGUAUUGAAACCUUUUUGUGUAAAGAUUAAGAAUCACUGAAAAUCAAAACCAAGUGGGGCAAGCCUGAAGAUCAUCUUGAUCAUCAUCUGGAUGUACAACUAAAAUAAUUCCUGUUCCUCUGCUUUCAAUAGAGAAAAACACUGUGGCAGUGUUAUUGUGUUGGAUGUGUUAAAUGGCUAAUGAAAACUGCACAGAAAUAAACGUUAUCCAAGGAAAGCAAAGUUUCAGGAUUUUAAUACACUUCACUUGGCAAAUGAGUAAUUUCUGCGUUGCUGUGCUGAAAGAACAAAAUUGUCACAUUUGUGAUGAUGCUACAGAAAUAAAGGACUAAAAGUGCA